GCACUUCUAUAGCCUGUCAUGCAGUCGAGCGACAGAGAAGGAGCUUGCUGCUUCGACGUUAGCGGCGGACGGGUGAGUAACACGUGGGCAACCUACCUUAUAGUUUGGGAUAACUCCGGGAAACCGGGGCUAAUACCGAAUAAUCUGUUUCACCUCAUGGUGAAACACUGAAAGACGGUUUCGGCUGUCGCUAUAGGAUGGGCCCGCGGCGCAUUAGCUAGUUGGUGAGGUAACGGCUCACCAAGGCGACGAUGCGUAGCCGACCUGAGAGGGUGAUCGGCCACACUGGGACUGAGACACGGCCCAGACUCCUACGGGAGGCAGCAGUAGGGAAUCUCUCAUACAAGGGCGCAUAACGCUUGGAUGCCGCAACCCCUGCUUGUAGUGGAAAGAAGGCAUUUCUGGAAUCAGUAAAACUCUGGUUGUAGGGAAAGUAACAAGUACAGGUAUGUAUCUGGCUGUAACAUGAACGUUACUGUAUUAGAACAGCCCAGCGGUCUAACUACGUGCCAGCAGCCGGCGGUAAUACGUACAGUGGCGAAGUCGUUGUCGGGACUUAGUUGGGCGUAAAGCGCGCGUCAUGUGGAUUUCUUAAGUCUGAUGUGAAAGUUCCCACGGCUCAUACCGUGGCAGGGUCAUUGGAAACGAGGGAGACUUUGAGUGCAGAAGAGGAUAGUGGAAUUGCCAGGUGUAGCGGUUGAAACUGCGUACAGAUUUGGGAGGAACACCCAGUGGCCGAACGCCGACUAUCUGGAUCUGUAGCUGACACUGAGGGCGUCGUACGCGUGCGGAGCACACAUGAUUAGAUACCCUGGUAGUACACGCCGUAAACGAUGAGUGCUUAAGUGUGGAGGGGGUUUCCGUCCCCUUAGUGCUGCAGCUAACGCAUGAAGCACCUCCUGCUCGGGGAGUACCGUCGUAAGACUGAAACUCCAAAGGAAUUGAACGGGGGCGCCCACAACCGGCUGGAGCAUGUGGUUUAAUUCCGAAGCAACGCGCAAAACCUUACCCAUGCCUUGACAUCCCGUUGACCACUAGUAGAGAUAUGGGUUUCCCCUUCGGUGGCCACGGUCAUUGGCGGUGCAUGCAUGUCGUCACACUCAUGUUCUUGUGAUGUUGGGUUUAGUUCCCCAACGAGAGGCAACCCUUGAUAUUAGUUGCCAUUCACUUAGUUGGGCACUCUAAGGCUACUGCCCAUGGCGGACCAUACGAAGGUGGGGCCUACGUCAAAUGUUCAUGCCCCUUAUGACCUCGGGUACACCCGUUCACCAUUUGACGAUACAAACGGUUGCCAACUCGCGAGAGGGAGCUAAUCCGAUAAAGUCGUUCUCAGUUCGGAUUGUAGGCUGCAACUCGCCUACAUGAAGCCGGAAUCGCUAGUAAUCGCGGAUCAGCAUGCCGCGGUGAAUACGUUCCCGGGCCUUGUACACACCGCCCGUCACACCACGAGAGUUUGUAACACCCGAAGUCGGUGAGGUAACCUUUUGGAGCCAGCCGCCGAAGGUGGGAUAGAUGAUUGGGGCAAGUCGAACGUGAGACCC
rnacentral:rRNA from 1 species